rnacentral:lncRNA from 10 species
CACAGGGUUUCUAGGAACUUUAAAUAGGUCCCAGGAGCUGAGAGUUAAAAAGAGCUGUGGUUUGGCCUCCCUCACCCCCUUGUGAAAUUCUCAUUAACACUUCUGAGGCAGCAAAGCCCUUGUUCAUGUAAAAGAAUUCUAGCAUUCUGCAGAACCACACUCAUUUCUGGAAGCUUCUGAAAUGACGACGUCCACAGCUGCCAGUUUGGUGGUGAACCCUAGCACUGCUGAGAGUCUCACUUGCCAGAGCCAGUGGGUUCCCUGGACCAAGGUUCAGAUGCUGUGGAAAGCUGGAAGCUUCCAAAGUCAUGUUGCUGAUAUUGAAAUGUCAAUUCCUUGACCUUUGGAUGCACAUGGGAGUCUCAGAGAACAUUCCAAGCAUUUGAAAGCUUUUGCAUGGCAGGAGACAGAGAGAAACCCUGAAAGGAAGACUGAACCACAGGAUUUCUGACCCUCUAGGUAUGAACUGACCAACAAAUCACUGCAUUAGAAUGAAAAAUAAUCAGAAAUGACACUAUUAAGUUGCUUGCCUGAAGUAGGUUGGGAGCUCGGAUCAGAGAUCUGACAAUUACGGCUAUAAAGAAAAUCACAUUUUCUGCUGACACGAAUUUGUGAUGGUGGAAUUCAUACCUGUGUUGCAGCUAAAGCAUUUAGCUCCUAUUAAAAGUUGGAUAUUCUCGGCAGCUGACGGAACAGGAGGAUCUUCAAGAUGUCUAAAUUAAACUUUUCUUUUGCCAGUUAAACUCUUUUCUCUUUAUCUGAUUCCACUGGAGAUAGAAAACAGAUCCUUUUCCCACCCUCUGUGUCUUUGAUUAUUUUUCUUGUUCAGGGCGAUUCUUUUAUUCCCCCUCUAGCUUCCUAUUUGUCAGACCUUAAUCCAUUUCAGUUUCUGUACACUGGAUGAUGUUCAAACCGAACUAUAAAAGUAUGCCAAGACAAUGUUGAAAAAAAUAAAGAUGGCAUUUUAGAGGCUGUAUACUCUGUUCACCUAGUAUACAUUGUAUUUUUAUUUACUAAAAGUGAAAAACAAAUUGCAAGAGAUCAUAGCUUUUAGACCUCAGAGUCAAUCUUGGUCCAUCUCAUAUUUAUGAGCAAUGUAUAUGACUUUUUAUGGCCUUUAUGAUGGAAGAUAUUAUGCCUUCUAGUCUGAGUUGGCACUUACUUGAACCACCAAUCUAAAU